CGAGAUGUGUAGGUGGCUGCAUGGUUGUCGUCAGCUCGUGCCGUGAGGUGUCGGCUUAAGUGCCAUAACGAGCGCAACCUCAUCAUUAGUUACCAUCAGGUAAGGCUGGGGACGUCUAAUGAGACUGCCAUCGUAAGAUGUGAGGAAGGUGGGGAGUGACGUCAAAUCAGCACGGCCCUUACGUCCGGGGCGGACACACGUGUUACAAUGGGUGGUACAAAGGGCAGCUACCUGGCGACAGGAUGCUAAUCUCGAAAACCGCUCUCAGUUCGGAUCGGAGUCUGCAACUCGACUCCGUGAAGCUGGAUUCGCUAGUAAUCGCGCAUCAGCCACGGCGCGGUGAAUACGUUCCCGGGCCUU
rnacentral:rRNA from 1 species